UACGAAGGGGGCUAGCGUUGCUCGGAAUCACUGGGCGUAAAGGGAGCGUAGGCGGGUUCUAAGUCAGGUGUUUAAUCCCGGGGCCCAACCCCGGACAGGCACUUGAAACUGGAAAUCUUGAAUAGUGGAGAGGUCAGUGGAAUUGGGGUGUAGCGGUGGAAUGCGUAGAGAUCCCAAGAACACCAGUUGCGAAGGCGGCUGACUGGACACAUAUUGACGCUGAGGCUCGAAAGCAUGGGGAGCAAACAGG
rnacentral:rRNA from 1 species